GAAGGCUAAACUGCUCUGGAGACAAAAAAGGAAGACAGCAAAAAUGACCAGUCAAAAUAAAGAUAAAGAGACAAAAAAAUUGUGUAUAUCUUGGGGUAGAUGAUUUAUCCUCAUUUUCGUAUAAGAAAACAAUAAAUAUUAUUAAACUUUGGGAUUUAUCUGUAACUCCAAACUCUUUGCAGAAGUUCAAUAUUUGCUCUGAGAAGUUGAAUGAACAAAAUUUAUUAAAUGAUAAAGUUGUAUCCUUUAAAGAUCUGCUGGUAUUAUUGACACAAUGGGCAAGCAUUGAAGUGCAACUUGGUGAACUACAAAACACAUCAAAUCUAGUUAUAAAAAUUUGAGUAACAAAGGUAUGCUAAUUAUUGUAUUGCCUGAAAGAGUGCCACUGCCAUUAAAUGCAGCAAAGAAUUCAAGUACUCUGGAAGAAAAAGGACAAGAAAAUACUUAAGUAAAUGGUCAAUUAUUUGGCACAAAUUGGAGUUAAAGACGAAGGAGAUUGUAUAUAUUAUUUACUAAGAAUAGUUUUUUAAAAUGGCCUAGCUGUAAAAUUAAACUAUCCAGGGAGAGGACAAAAAAUUGGAAUAGGAAAAAUGUUCAUUGCAUAUGUUGCUAUUGAAACUGUGAAGUCAAAUAAGCAUGGCUUAUGCAGACAUGUGAUAGAGAUAGCGGAAGAAA